AUUCCGGUUGAUCCUGCCGGAGGCCAUUGCUAUUGGGAUCCGAUUUAGCCAUGCUAGUCGCACGAGUUCAGACUCGUGGCGAAUAGCUCAGUAACACGUGGCCAAACUACCCUUCGGAACACAAUACCCUCGGGAAACUGAGGCUAAUAGUGUAUACCACAUCACCACUGGAAUGAGUGAUGUGCCAAACGCUCCGGCGCCGAAGGAUGUGGCUGCGGCCGAUUAGGUAGACGGUGGGGUAACGNCCNNNCNNNCNNNUNNUGNGUNUGGGUCAUGAGAGUGAGAACCCAGAGACGGAAUCUGAGACAAGAUUCCGGGCCCUACGGGGCGCAGCAGGCGCGAAACCUUUACACUGCACGACAGUGCGAUAGGGGGAUCCCAAGUGCACAGGCAUAGCGCCUGUGCUUUUCGGUACCGUAAGGUGGUACCAGAAUAAGGGCUGGGCAAGACCGGUGCCAGCCGCCGCGGUAAUACCGGCAGCCCAAGUGAUGGCCGAUCUUAUUGGGCCUAAAGCGUCCGUAGCUACUUUCC
rnacentral:rRNA from 1 species